UCGCGGCGAAUAGCUCAGUAACACGUGGCCAAGCUCCCCUUCAGUCAGCGAUACCCUCGGGAAACUGAGGUUAACAGCUGAUACAAAACGCCAGCUGGAAUGCGGCGUUUCAGAAAGACAUCGCUGAAGGAUGCGGCUGCGGCCGAUUAGGUAGACGGUGGGGUAACGGCCCACCGUGCCAGUAAUCGGUACGGGUGAUGAGAGUCAGAGCCCGGAGACGGAAUCUGAGACAAGAUUCCGGGCCCUACGGGGCGCAGCAGGCGCGAAACCUUUACACUGCACGGAAGUGCGAUAGGGGAAUCCCAAGUGCGAGGGCAUAUUAGCCCUCGCUUUUCUCGACUGUAAGGUGGUCGACGAAUAAGAGCUGGGCAAGACCGGUGCCAGCCGCCGCGGUAAUACCGGCAGCUCAAGUGAUGUCCCAUAUUAUUGGGCCUAAAGCGUCCGUAGCU
rnacentral:rRNA from 1 species